rnacentral:snRNA from 1 species
AUGGGAUUACCAUUAGAGCUU